GAUGAACGCUGGCGGCGUGCCUAAUACAUGCAAGUCGAGCGAACAGACGAGGAGCUUGCUCCUCUGACGUUAGCGGCGGACGGGUGAGUAACACGUGGAUAACCUACCUAUAAGACUGGGAUAACUUCGGGAAACCGGAGCUAAUACCGGAUAAUAUAUUGAACCGCAUGGUUCAAUAGUGAAAGACGGUUUUGCUGUCACUUAUAGAUGGAUCCGCGCCGCAUUAGCUAGUUGGUAAGGUAACGGCUUACCAAGGCGACGAUGCGUAGCCGACCUGAGAGGGUGAUCGGCCACACUGGAACUGGGACACGGUCCAGACUCCUACGGGAGGCAGCAGUAGGGAAUCUGCCGCAAUGGGCGAAAGCCUGACGGAGCAACGCCGCGUGAGUGAUGAAGGUCUUCGGAUCGUAAAACUCUGUUAUGAGGGAAGAACAAAUGUGUAAGUAACUAUGCACGUCUUGACGGUACCUAAUCAGAAAGCCACGGCUAACUACGUG
rnacentral:rRNA from 1 species